rnacentral:lncRNA from 1 species
UAACAACUCCAAUUACAGCGGUAAUUACCAUAGCAAUAGACCGAACAACCGGAGACCGGCGGUCCGUCAUGAGAAGCCGGAUCAGAGGAGGCAGCAGCGGGCUCAAUCGGAGCCGUCUAUGCCGAGGAGGGCGUCGGCUUCUGAUGAUUCGAAGUCGGUGAGGAGAUCGAGUUCUGAUGAUUUUUUAAUGGAGAAGGUGACCAUUUUGAGAAGAGGAGAGUCGCUCGAUUCGAAGAUAAAGACCGGCAACGGUGCCGGGGCGACGUCGUCGAAGAAGGAAGGUAAUAGUUUGGUGGUUAACGGUAGCGUGCGGACAGGUCGGUCCCCGGAAGUGAUGCCUAAGAUCCGGAUCGUCGAUUUUAAGACUCCGAUGGCUGGAAAGACCGAUGUGUACGCCGGAUCGGCGUUCGCGGUUUCUCCGGCACCGAGUUCGUUGCCUUUGCCGUCGUUUUCGACGAAAAAACAGAUCGCGGUUGACGACUCAGCAACUCGAGACAUCAAGCGUUUGCUCCGGCUCGAGCUAUGAGAUCUGGUUCAAGAACCGGGGCCGUCUUGAACCUUUUAACUUAAAUUCGUGUCUGUAUAACGUGUUCCUAUCGAUUUUCAAGGUCCGAUAUUCCUCGCGAUUUUUUUUAAACGGGGAAGGGUAGAUUUGAAAAUAAGGGAGAAAUGCGGGGCGAAUUAGGAAUUAUAUCGUGCUUGUCGUUUGUUGGUGUUGGUGGU